CUCACUGUCUGUAAGGGUGAACUGGAGCUUGCUCUUUAUUCAGCAAGUGCCAACUGCAUGUUUAAUCAAUGUCACCACUCACUACAGGGUGCAACUGAAGCGACUAUCAUUCUACUCCUCAGAUUUGACUGCUGCUAAGUUAUGCAACGCUCCGAAGAAUGCCUUGAAAUCGUCUGUCAGAUGCUCUAAAUGCAGGUGUGCACACUCCUAACACUACAGCACGCAUGCAUGCACACACGCACACCAAAAGAACUUUGUUUUUUCUGGACUCAACUGUAAACAAACGGCUACCUGCCACCAUUUGGAUUUACAACACAGCGACAUGCGAAGAAUAUCAUCUUCAGAGUUCACAAGAUACAGAGCAUGUUAAAUGAUUAUUUAAUUGGAAUGUCUUGGGAAACAGCUACAUACACAGGAGAAGCCGCAGGAGAUUUUUAAAUGCAAGACUGAAUGGCAUAUUCAUGGUCAGAGCAGAAAAUGUCUCAUCUGAAGGAAGAAUGCAAGACUUAAAAAGGGAACAAACAUACAAACAUGUGUUGGAUAUACAGAGCAGGGCUUUCUUUCCUAACUAGGCGUCAUUUCAGUGGAUAACCAAAUUAAGGCCUGCAUCUGUUGGAAGAUUUUGUAAUGUUAUUGCAUCCUUAUCUUAAUUCAUCAAGGAAUUGUUCAUGCAUGUAUACAAUCUUCGCUCUGAGUGAAAAGAACAGCCCUCCAUGAAGAUAAGGCUGUUUCUCCACUGCAGUGAGGAGUAAGCAGCAUGUCUGAUGAGAUUUUAUUCCUGAUGCAAUGUAGGCCAGAUGCCAGAAGCCUGGUGAAGAUCGUUGCGGGCAAAAUGAGGAGCUCUGCCAUCACAACACUCGAAGAUAUAAAAAAGCAAGAAGAGAGUGAAGAAAAGGAAGAAUCUGUUUUAGCUCUCUUGGGAAUAAUUGGAACAGUCCUGAACCUAUUUGUGAUUAUUUUUGUGUACAUCUACACAACUCUUUGAUGUUUUAACAGCAAUUCUGAGCAUACAAUGGAGAGACCAGCAGUGGCAAGACAGAUUUGUAAACAUUACCCAACAGGAAACAGUCUGAAAAAUCAAACAUUCCAGAGUGAAGCAUCUAGUUAGAGGCAUUAACUGCAAAAGGCACCUGCGAACCCAGCUAAAUUUAAUUAUGUAAAUGAAGACAAACAUUCAACUGAUGAAGCUCUAACAGAAGGAAUGCAUGUGGUAUUCUGCUGCCACUGAAUAAGCAAGACAUUAAUAUAAACAAAUGAAAAUACAACAGAUAAUGGUGCCAUAAAACCUUCCUACAAAAUGUUUUAUUUACUUGAUCCCUAUUAUGCUUUUGGAUUUCUGACUAUGUAUCACUAUGUGGGUGACAACUGGAGCGGAAAGGAAUCUAGCUCAUUUUUAAACCAACUCUAUGGGCUAAAAUUUACACAGUUGUAUAGAAAGAAGAGCACUGUACUGUAUUAUGAGCAAAUAAAAUUUUAACUGACUAUCUUCUGCAACUAAGUCUCAUUCUAACAGAUUUGUAAGAUGGUUUUCCCUUGAAAUAAUUCUCAUCCAGAUGUAAAAUAUUUUCUUAACAAAAAACAGCAUUCAAAAAUAAUUUCUGUAUUAUAAAAUAUAAACAUCAAGAAGAAAUUUGGCAUGAAUGAUACAGUCCUAAAUUCAACUUGUUUUAGGAAAGGAAUAUACUGAGAGCAAUUAGAGUUAUGAGCUAAUGGUUGGGGCGGGGGGAAGAGACUUAAGUCAUUUUAUUAUUAUUCCUGUUCCAAGUGUAAAUCACUAUUGGCCUAGAUUCUGUAUAAACUUUAAUGAAUUUACUUAAAAUUCCAUUGCCCCUCUAACUCCCAUUUGUAUACAUUUGCUCUAAGGUUAUGUUCUACUUUUGAGGAAACAUAAAAACUUGUGUACUGGUAGAUGUGUAGACAAUUCUAUUUUUCCAGAUUCUACUUGCAAACCUACACUUUUAUUCAAGAGCUGUUCUUUAUACUGUCAUGUUCUUUUCUACUUUAAAUACACAGGUUUAUGGCUCAGAAAUGGCACUUCUACUACAACCUUUUUAUUUUUAAAAAAAUCACAUUUGAGCAUAGAUUACGUUUGAAAAAUAGCAAUAUUUUAACACAAACCAGAAGUCUUGGAGUUAAUAUUUUAGGCAUUUAAAAUUAAUACUAUAUUAGAAUAAAGUAUCGAUAUGGAAGCAUCAACAAGGCAGUUAUCCUCUACUACUAUGUAAACUUUUACACAGCAAUUUCAUUUUGAAAGGUGCAAGAUUACUUUAUAGAUGAAGAUCCUGAAAUCUAGAGACAAAGUUGGGCUGGCAACAAGUAUACUAGAUUCAAUCCCAUUUCUCUAUCCAAUAGAUUCACUUCAACCAUUUAUUGUUAACAACUAAUAUUUGGGAGACAAGACAGAGGCUUAGAGAUACAAAGGGAUCAAGGAGAUUUACUUCCUUGGCAUGUACAGGAGAGGUCCCUACUUGGCAUGAUGGCAGGGGAGAGGAGGACCCAGAAGAAGACACAAACAGAAGUUGAAUGGAAAGAAUUCCAAAAGGAACUAUCCUAAUCAAAACGAAGGAAAUGAGUAUAAAAACAAAAGAAUGCAACAGACUAUUGUCUUGGAAAUGAAAAACAGGUAGGCACAUAAAUUCCCCAAAUAAAUAAAUAUUGACUGUUGAAGCUGAGGAUAUGAUAAUGUAAGAGUGGAUGACAGGAAAAGGACACAUAAAUAACUUUUAUUACUAGUAUUUUAUAAGCUGUAAAUCUGUGAGAAAUUGUGGGGGAAGACAAAUUAUUUCCAAGUCUUCAGAACUAUAGGCUUUCCGGGGGUUCAGCAAGUCAAUGUUCUCAUCUCUCUCUGCUUUCCCCCUUUUGCCCAACUCAACUAUUCUCAGCAACCUAUGUCAAUCCUUGAACUGGUUUUAGAUAUCCUCUUUUCCCCCUUCUGACUAAUAUUAAAAGUCACACCUUUUCUGUAUAGUUAGGGAGCCCCCUGAGCAGACACUCCAAGCUUGUCUGUGGAUGGGCAGCUCUUACUGCUUUUGUAGUUGGCACAAGCAGUUUACUACUAUUAGAUAUAGUAAAACAGUAUGAGACAGGAAGCCAAAAAGGCAAGAUAUGAUGACAUCCAAAACCCGGAACAUGAUGCAUAUAAUAUCUUCUAUUAGGACCAACCAACUUACACAUAAUAGUAUGUGAGCUUUCAAGUUUUCCAGAACUAUUCCUUGGUUGGGAUGUUAUAAUUUUUUU